rfam:Candidatus Rokubacteria bacterium GWA2_70_23 gwa2_scaffold_7570, whole genome shotgun sequence.
CGUCCACGAGCUGCGGGCAGAUGAAGUGGAUGUGGCUGUCGAUGCCGCCCGCCGUGACGAUCCGCCCCUCGCCCGCGAUGACCUCGGUGGCGGCGCCGAUCACGAGCCCCGGCGUCACGCCCGCCAUGAUGUCCGGGUUGCCGGCCUUGCCGAUGCCGACGAUGCGGCCGCCGCGGAUCCCGAUGUCGGCCUUGACGAUCCCCCAGUGGUCGAGGAUGAGGGCGUUCGUGAUGACGAGGUCGAGCGCCCCGUCGCGGGAGGUGGCGCGCGCGGACUGGCCCAUGCCGUCGCGGAUG